CAACGCCAGAAGGCAACGAAUCAGGUAACCAGCUUCGACCAAGGAAAUCACUGCCUUCACGACGCUUCGGUUACACCUGAGGUCUUCCCAAUUGCAUUUUUAUCUGACGAGAAGUAUGCUGUUGAGCUUAUCUUUGUUCCUCGAUAUAAAAUUACGGUCAUUUCCUGAGCACCUGUGCCACCCAGGAGGAUUCCUUUGGAUCUCUGCCCUGCCUCCAGUCUUUCUGUGAACAUCUUAUGGAGACACAUGGAAAAAAGAAUACAAGUGUUACAAGAAUAGGAAGUCCUCUCCCAGAAUACUCCGUAUGACAGAUGGCAGAAUUACACCAGGAGAGACCCAGAAGAGGAACUCAAGCAAGGACGCCACAGGCACUUAAGAGACCCAGUAUACAGGGCAGUCUGUAUCUGAGGAAUCUGAGAAUGCUGGGGAGGGCAGAGCCACUCAGCGGAAGGAGCCUGGAUCCCUGCUUCAGUGUCGAGCAGAACCUGCGUUCCCAAGCCACUAAGCCACAUUGGAUCAAUAGACUAAACGACAUUUAUGAAAUUCCUAACGAAAUCUACCUUUGGGAAAGAAGGGGAAUCAGGAGAGCAAAAGACCACACAAACCUUUGCAUGGCCCUGAGGUUAUUUCCUUGCUCAAUUUCUGUGCUGGAGACCUGCUGAGGACAGACUGUGGUGAAAAUUUCCGAAAGGAGGUCCUUGCU